GCCGGAGUAGCUCAGCUGGUAGAGCAACGCAUUUGUAAUGCGUGGGCCGUGGGUUCGAGUCCCACCUCCGGCU
rnacentral:tRNA from 1 species